AACAAAGCCUGUCUCUCUCCAGACUCCACUCUUCAGCAACAUACCACUCAGGAAAGGCCCUGAAAUCCAAAACAUCACUGAGGAGAUGUUUCAGUCUGUGUGAAGGUCAACACCCAGGGUACUGAGAGGGCACCAAGAGGUGCAUCGUGACAAAGAGGCCUGUCCCCCUGCAGAGCCUGGGCCUGGGCUUCAGAAGAUGCUGAUGAAGGCACUGGGUUUGUCCCAUCAUCCAAACACUUACAGAGAAAAUGAGAGCAAAGUUAAACUCACAUCUUCAGAGCAGUGCUGACAGAUCUUUGAACACAUGCAGACAGGAGAGUUGAUUGGGUCACUCGGGCUAAUGGUGCUACUUGUGGAGAUGAUUCAAAGUGCUCCAAGUCAGUAAUCACCUAAUUGGCCUCGGUGGACUUCAGAUCUCUG
rnacentral:lncRNA from 1 species